CAAAGAACGAGAAGGAUAUAAAAAAGGAAAUACUCCCUCCUGUGUUUGCUCAUGAUUUGACAGAGGUAAUUGUUAGGUCGAAAGGGGGUCCAGGAGCUGGUGCAUGCCUCCGCCAGGCAGAUGGUGAUGUAGAUACUGGGCCCUUCCUAGAAUCCGUAACAGGCCAGUGCACCAGACAGAUGACGACACCUGGAAACCGUGACGACCCCCGUGGCGGGAACUCCCACAGCGCAUGCUCCCCGGCCCUCACUGAACAGCUGUAUAUAAAAAAAGCCCCCCUCCCUGUUGGUGGGGAUCCACGUGCCCUGUCUUUGGGGUUCGUGGGCCGCCCAGGGACGCAGAAUAAAGCCUUUCCUUUCUUUCUUUUCUGAUUAA